CACAACAGCUCAGGAGAGGGUCCGAACUGUGCUCAUGUCUACCACAGGAAAUGGAGUGUAAGGUCCUGUGACACCGAAUCUAUGUUUCUCUGCUACUACUAUAAGAAGAGAUCUGUGGUGAAGAUCAGCAUUAACUCUGACAUGAGCGACCCAGUCAUCCGACAACAAAUCUUAAACCAGCUGGAGGCAGAUAUGAAAAGAAAGGGCAUCACUGAUUUCAAGAUCCGCUGGUUGACGUCCAGAAGAGUUUCACACAAAGAGGCACAACAGUACAUGCAGCCUGAGGGAGGUGAAACAUGAAUCCUGCUGCAGUGGUGCACCCAUUUUAAAUGUUAUCACAUAGUCAAAUAGGCAUUAGUACUGGUUAUCAGCAUCAUAGAUAUAGGUUAGAAGGCUCCUGCUACACUGACUAGUAUAUUCAGAAUGCUGUGAUCAUCUUAUUAAACAGCUGUUGGCAAAAUGUUUUUCUGUUUCAACAAUGCUGUGGUUAACGUGUGGUUAUGUUUAGGCACAAACCAA